GCUUGCGCACGAAAAUGACAAACGGUAUUCUUUAUACGAGUUCAUGUAUGAAAAAUUCGCUAUUUGUUGUAUUUAUGAUAAAAUUUCGGCACGAUUUUACAGAGUACAAAUCCUCCGAAAAGCCUAUGAAAACGUUACAUUUUUCUCUGUUGGUGCUGUUCUUGCUUCAUUAUGAAUUCAUUUUUACUCCCAUGAGAGUUCCGUGGAAUUUUCAUGGAAUUUGUGCUUUCGAGUUGUUUGUGCUGAAACGCAUUC